GUGAUAUCACCAUGGCAAUGAAAUUUUUUUCACCAAAUAAGCCUGGGCUAGAUUUUUGGCAUCAGAACUUUGUGCGCAACAAAAUUAACCACAAAUGCUAAAGUUAGAAAUAUUAGCAAAUGGCGGUCAAAGCUUCUAAUGCAGGAUAUCUAGAGUCAUUUUUUAGGUCAUGCUACAUAGAACCAAACAAUGAGGGGAAGGGAGAA
rnacentral:lncRNA from 1 species